GACGUAGGAUGCGAGCGUUAUCCGGAAUUAUUGGGCGUAAAGAGUUCGUAGACGAACUGUUAAGUAGAAUGUUAAAGACCAGGGCCUAACCCUGGGCAUGUGUUCUAAACUGGCAGAAUAGAGCAAUUCAGAGGCAAGUAGAAUUCUGUGUGUAGGGGUAAUAUCCGUAGAUAUACAGAGGAAUACCAAAAGCGAAGGCAGCUUGCUGGGAAUUUGCUGACGUUCAAGAACGAAAGCGUGGGGAGCAAACAGG
rnacentral:rRNA from 1 species